UGAAAGGCGAAGAUGGGAACCGAGUACCCUGAUGCGCUCUGCCCAGAGAGGCCCCGGCUGGUGAAAGGGGCUGCGGAGACGCAGGCGAAAUACGUCCCUGAGCCGCAGGCUGAACGAAUAGUAGGCUGUGCCGCGUGCGAGCGUUACAAACGCAGGAGUGUCACUCUACUCUGGGGUGCGCACUCGUGAGGCCGUUUCUGUGAAGAGGCGGCAAACAGAGGUGGUACCGCGAAUUUUAUCGCCCUCUGC
rnacentral:ncRNA from 1 species